AAAGUAGGAGAAACAGUCGCGCUUUAGAUGAAAAUUUAGAGUGAGGAAAGUCCGAGCUCCACAGAAUCAGGGCGCCCGGUAACACCGGGGCGGAGUGAUCCGAUGGAAAGUGCCGCAGAAACUAUACCGCCCGUCUUUGGCGGGUAAGGGUGAAAACGUGGUGUAAGAGACCACGGCUGUCGGCAGUAAUGCAGGCAGUGGGUAAACCCCGCCCGGAGCAAGGCCAAAUAGGGGAACAGGGGUCGAUUCGCCCCGCUAUGAUUCCCGGGUGGGCCGCAAAGAAUGAUCGGGCAACCGAUCAUCAAGAUAAAUGACUGUUGGUCUCGCCUAUGGCGGGAUUACAGAACUCGGCUUACCUCCUGCUGACAAG
rnacentral:RNase_P_RNA from 1 species